rnacentral:rRNA from 1 species
AUUGAACGCUGGCGGUAUGCUUAACACAUGCAAGUCGAACGCGAAAGUUCCUUCGGGGACGAGUAGAGUGGCGGACGGGUGAGUAACGCGUAGGAAUCUACCUUAUAGUGGGGGACAACCCGGGGAAACUCGGGCUAAUACCGCAUAAUAUCUAAGGAUCAAAGUGUGGGAUCUUCGGACCACACGCUAUGAGAUGAGCCUGCGUCGGAUUAGCUUGUUGGUGAGGUAAUGGCUCACCAAGGCGACGAUCCGUAGCUGGUCUGAGAGGACGAUCAGCCACACUGGGACUGAGACACGGCCCAGACUCCUACGGGAGGCAGCAGUGGGGAAUAUUGGACAAUGGGGGCAACCCUGAUCCAGCAAUACCGCGUGUGUGAAGAAGGCCUUCGGGUUGUAAAGCACUUUCAGUAGGGAAGAAUGGCCAAAAGUUAAUAGCUUUUGGAAGUGACGUUACCUACAGAAGAAGCACUGGCUAACUCUGUG